rnacentral:rRNA from 1 species
UUGACCUCGGAUCAGGUAGGAAUACCCGCUGAACUUAAGCAUAUCAUUAAGCGGAGGA